AUUCACCCGUGUCUUUUGCGUACUUCUUGUUUCCUUGGUGGGCUCGCCCGCCACAUGGACAACUCAUAAACCUUUUGUAAUAGCAAUCAGCGUCAGUAACAACAUAAUAAUUACAACUUUCAACAACGGAUCUCUUGGUUCUGGCAUCGAUGAAGAACGCAGCGAAAUGCGAUACGUAGUGUGAAUUGCAGAAUUCAGUGAAUCAUCGAAUCUUUGAACGCACAUUGCGCCCUUUGGUAUUCCAAAGGGCAUGCCUGUUCGAGCGUCAUUUGUACCCUCAAGCUUUGCUUGGUGUUGGGCGUCUUGUCUCCAGUCCGCUGGAGACUCGCCUUAAAGUCAUUGGCAGCCGGCCUACUGGUUUCGGAGCGCAGCACAAGUCGCACUCUUUUCCAGCCAAGGUCAGCGUCCAACAAGCCUUUUUUCAACUUUUGACCUCGGAUCAGGUAGGGAU
rnacentral:rRNA from 1 species